rnacentral:tmRNA from 1 species
GGGGGCGAAUUGGAUUCGACCGGACGAGUUGAGGCGUCGGUGGCGUGCCCAGGUUCCAAGGAGGCCUGGCAAAACACCUUGGAAAACUUUUAUAUGCCAAUAGACCAAUGGCAAUGGCUGCAUAAUCAUGUAGCCCGUCGCCCGGGACUUGCCCGCGAGUUCUGACGCGACGACAAACAGCGGGCUUACCGACCGGAAGUUGCCUUGUUAACCGGUUGGAAAAUUCCGUAAGGCUGGCCGAUCCGUACCGUGUCGCAGGCGGGCCGGUGAAGCGAGAUGCCGAAAAACCGCGACUACGCACGUAGAAGCCGGCGUUGAAACGUCACGGGACCCGGGUUCGAUUCCCGGCGCCUCCAUGA